GAAGAAGAAAUAAAAGUACUUGUUGAUGGAAAAGACAUUCUUGAACUAGACAUGACCCUAACAUUAUCAAACAUUUGAAUGAAACUAAUUUUAUAUUACGAGCAAUCAUACAAAAUGGCAUAGAAGAAAAAUAUCAAAUUUGAAGACAUGACAAAUAAAUCCUAAACCCUAAACUCUAGUUUGAAAAGAAAAUUACUAAAUCCUAAACCCAAAUAUAAACCCUAAACCCUAAUCACUAAACCUUAAACCCAGAAAUAGAUCCUAAACACUAAUCACUAAAACCUAAAUCCUAAUCACUAAACCCUAG
rnacentral:lncRNA from 1 species